AUUUAUUAUAUUCCCCCUUCAAACAUUAAAUGGUUUCACAUGCAUGGCUCGAUUAAAGUUUGCAAUUGGAAACGAAUAACUAUAAUACGUUGUUUUUUAAUCAUAUCAUGACCCUUCAAAUAUAUCGACGAUACAACGUGUUACCGACUUAGUUGGCGUGUAUAGUUCAAAUAUAUCGACGUAGACAUUGUCGAAAGACAACAUAGUACAUCAUAAGAAAGGAGCCAGCUAGAUUUGCCAGUUACGAAGCUGUGAAUAUCAUCCUUUAAUAUGUGGAGAAGACAUUACAUUUAUUUCAGAAACGAAGUCCGCAAAAUUUAGUUGGUUUAAAGACAAGUUUUGUGGAUUCAAACGUUUGUAGGGACAAAAAUUUCAGUUGAAUUUAACGGUGUCGGGAUAUUAACUUCCAUUAAGUUUAUUUUCGGCGAGAGUAUUAACUAUCCUCCUACAGAUCGAUAGUUCAUCUCGUGUUUAUGUUAUUCUUGAACUCUUAGAUUAUAUUUAUUGAAUGGACUUGAGUUUAUUGUCGUGAAGCUAGAUUUACAUUCGAUUCUCUCCCGAGUUCUUUUGUUUUUUUAAAUUUUUUUGUGAAGGUUAUUUCAUCUCAUUCAUUUUUUAUUUUAUAGUUGUACCCGAUAUUUUAAAAGUAAUAUAAAUGUGUCAUAGAAUAAUAUAAC